rnacentral:rRNA from 1 species
UGGGGAAUAUUGCACAAUGGGCGCAAGCCUGAUGCAGCCAUGCCGCGUGUAUGAAGAAGGCCUUCGGGUUGUAAAGUACUUUCAGCGGGGAGGAAGGGAGUAAAGUUAAUACCUUUGCUCAUUGACGUUACCCACAGAAGAAGCACCGGCUAACUCCGUGCCAGCAGCCGCGGUAAUACGGAGGGUGCAAGCGUUAAUCGGAAUUACUGGGCGUAAAGCGCACGCAGGCGGUUUGUUAAGUCAGAUGUGAAAUCCUCGGGCUCAACCUGGGAACUGCAUCUGAUACUGGCAAGCUUGAGUCUCGUAGAGGGGGGUAGAAUUCCAGGUGUAGCGGUGAAAUGCGUAGAGAUCUGGAGGAAUACCGGUGGCGAAGGCGGCCCCCUGGACGAAGACUGACGCUCAGGUGCGAAAGCGUGGGGAGCAAACAGG